GAUGAACGCUGGCGGCGUGCCUAAUACAUGCAAGUCGAGCGAACGGACGAGAAGCUUGCUUUUCUGAUGUUAGCGGCGGACGGGUGAGUAACACGUGGAUAACCUACCUAUAAGACUGGGAUAACUUCGGGAAACCGGAGCUAAUACCGGAUAAUAUUUUGAACCGCAUGGUUCAAAAGUGAAAGACGGUCUUGCUGUCACUUAUAGAUGGAUCCGCGCUGCAUUAGCUAGUUGGUAAGGUAACGGCUUACCAAGGCAACGAUGCAUAGCCGACCUGAGAGGGUGGUCGGCCACACUAGAGCUGAGACACGGUCCAGACUCCUACGGGAGGCAGCAGUAGGGAAUCUUCCGCAAUGGGCGAAAGCCUGACGGAGCAACGCCGCGUGAGUGAUGAAGGUCUUCGGAUCGUAAAACUCUGUUAUUAGGGAAGAACAUAUGUGUAAGUAACUGUGCACAUCUUGACGGUACCUAAUCAGAAAGCCACGGCUAACUACGUG
rnacentral:rRNA from 1 species